rnacentral:rRNA from 1 species
UACGGAGGGUGCGAGCGUUGUCCGGAAUCACUGGGCGUAAAGGGCGCGUAGGUGGCGCGGGAAGUCAACGGUGAAAGUUCGGGGCUCAACCCUGAAUCGGCCGUCGAUACUCCCGGGCUCGAGCACUGUAGAGGCAGAUGGAAUUUCGGGUGUAGCGGUGGAAUGCGUAGAGAUCCGGAAGAACACCGGUGGCGAAGGCGGUCUGCUGGGCAGUUGCUGACACUGAUGCGCGACAGCGUGGGGAGCAAACAGG